rnacentral:rRNA from 1 species
GAUGAACGCUGGCGGCGUGCCUAAUACAUGCAAGUCGAGCGAACGGACGAGAAGCUUGCUUCUCUGAUGUUAGCGGCGGACGGGUGAGUAACACGUGGAUAACCUACCCAUAAGACUGGGAUAACUUCCGGAAACCGGGGCUAAUACCGGAUAAUAUUUUGAACCGCAUGGUUCAAAAGUGAAAGACGGUCUUGCUGUCACUUAUGGAUGGAUCCGCGCUGCAUUAGCUAGUUGGUAAGGUAACGGCUUACCAAGGCAACGAUGCAUAGCCGACCUGAGAGGGUGAUCGGCCACACUGGAACUGAGACACGGUCCAGACUCCUACGGGAGGCAGCAGUAGGGAAUCUUCCGCAAUGGGCGAAAGCCUGACGAAGCAACGCCGCGUGAGUGAUGAAGGUCUUCGGAUCGUAAAACUCUGUUAUUAGGGAAGAACAUAUGUGUAAGUAACUGUGCACAUCUUGACGGUACCUAAUCAGAAAGCCACGGCUAACUACGUGCCAGCAGCCGCGGUAAUACGUAGGUGGCAAGCGUUAUCCGGAAUUAUUGGGCGUAAAGCGCGCGUAGGCGGUUUUUUAAGUCUGAUGUGAAAGCCCACGGCUCAACCGUGGAGGGUCAUUGGAAACUGGAAAACUUGAGUGCAGAAGAGGAAAGUGGAAUUCCAUGUGUAGCGGUGAAAUGCGCAGAGAUAUGGAGGAACACCAGUGGCGAAGGCGACUUUCUGGUCUGUAACUGACGCUGAUGUGCGAAAGCGUGGGGAUCAAACAGGAUUAGAUACCCUGGUAGUCCACGCCGUAAACGAUGAGUGCUAAGUGUUAGGGGGUUUCCGCCCCUUAGUGCUGCAGCUAACGCAUUAAGCACUCCGCCUGGGGAGUACGACCGCAAGGUUGAAACUCAAAGGAAUUGACGGGGACCCGCACAAGCGGUGGAGCAUGUGGUUUAAUUCGAAGCAACGCGAAGAACCUUACCAAAUCUUGACAUCCUUUGACAACUCUAGAGAUAGAGCCUUCCCCUUCGGGGGACAAAGUGACAGGUGGUGCAUGGUUGUCGUCAGCUCGUGUCGUGAGAUGUUGGGUUAAGUCCCGCAACGAGCGCAACCCUUAAGCUUAGUUGCCAUCAUUAAGUUGGGCACUCUAAGUUGACUGCCGGUGACAAACCGGAGGAAGGUGGGGAUGACGUCAAAUCAUCAUGCCCCUUAUGAUUUGGGCUACACACGUGCUACAAUGGACAAUACAAAGGGCAGCGAAACCGCGAGGUCAAGCAAAUCCCAUAAAGUUGUUCUCAGUUCGGAUUGUAGUCUGCAACUCGACUACAUGAAGCUGGAAUCGCUAGUAAUCGUAGAUCAGCAUGCUACGGUGAAUACGUUCCCGGGUCU